UACGUAGGGUGCAAGCGUUGUCCGGAAUUAUUGGGCGUAAAGAGCUUGUAGGUGGUUUGUCGCGUCGGCUGUGAAAACCCGGGGCUCAACCCCGGGCCUGCAGUCGAUACGGGCAGACUAGAGUGCGGUAGGGGAGACUGGAAUUCCUGGUGUAGCGGUGAAAUGCGCAGAUAUCAGGAGGAACACCGGUGGCGAAGGCGGGUCUCUGGGCCGUAACUGACGCUCAUGCACGACAGCGUGGGGAUCAAACAGG
rnacentral:rRNA from 1 species